rnacentral:lncRNA from 1 species
UUCUGUUGUAAAUUCGUGUUUCUGAGAUGAAGCUACUGCCAAUUUUGCUGAUCUCCCUUCUACUCAUACAGGUUAAUUUGACAAGAAAUGCUCCCAUCAAUAUUGUUAGCGUCGAGCCCGUUUCGAUUGCUUCUCAUAUAGUUGUCUGAAUUAAUAAAAAAAUGACAAGAAUUUUGAAAACAAAUUAAAUCAAGUAUGGUUAGAAAACUAUAUAUAGUUUGCUAAGUUUGUUUAUUUUUCAUUUUUUUUUUCUUUUUCAGGAUUUCGUUGAGGCAGAAUCAGUCAAUGGAGCUACAGAUAAAUUUCUGUCCCAAGCAGUAAAUCAUCUUCGAAUAUUUCGUUUAAUUAAUGCAUGUUGCUUUGGAUAUAUCAAAAUAUCUAUUUUUUGUUUUUUCACAAACUUUUUUAGGAGGAUGCAAAAGGGAUUCGAUCAGUCAUAUCAACAAAUAUAGACCUCCAAAUCGUGGUAACUAAUGAAAUCAUCUUUUGAAUAUUGAUCCUUGUCGAUUUGAAACAUACAUUUCUAAUUUUAUACUGCAUGUGUUGCAGAUUGCUUAAAAAAAUGCAAAAGAAAAUGUCGCAAUAAGUCGAGGCGGAGAGCCGAGUGCCGUCGAGCUUGCCGGAGCUGCUGCAGGAAAAAGUCUAAGUGCCCUUGAGAGUUUACACAUUGAUUAUGAAAUGAAAUUGUUGGAUUUUCAUGUUUGGAAUAAAUUGGUAUGGGAAAACUAAUAGAUUGACAUGAAUAAUGUUUUAGUAAAAAAUAAGACAGGUACGCGGUAUUGUAAUGAGUGGAAAAUUGUAACAUUAAUCGUACACAUAAAUCAUAAUAUGUAUCGCGAGCCCACUAUUAAGACUUUAAUAGUUGGGCACAUACAUAAUAUCUAAAUAAUUGACACUA